AAUGAAACUAUCAAAGAUUCACUACUUGUAUUUUAAUUACAAAGUAAUUUGUAUAAAUUACCAAAAUGUUAUUUUUUUCAGAAUCUCUUCAACCCACAGUGUGUUUAUUGGGAUGAAUCUCCUGGACAGGAUCCUCAUUGGUCAACAAAAGGCUGUAAUACAUCCAUGUAUGUACCUGGAGAGAAAAUGUUUUGUUCCUGUAACCAUCUGACAAGUUUUGCCAUAUUAAUGGAUGUCAAACAUGAUAUUAGUCACCUCUUAUAUAUAACAUCUUACAUUGGCUGCGGAAUAUCAUUAGUCUGUCUCAUUCUUACAGUAGUAAUCCAUGUUUGUUCCAA